rnacentral:rRNA from 1 species
GACGAACGCUGGCGGCGUGCUUAACACAUGCAAGUCGAACGGAAAGACGCCUUUGUUGCUACUCUGACGUCGGAGGCGGGCGUAACAGUUACGUAACCUUCACUUGACUUUGGGAUAACUUCAGGUAACUGGGGCUAAUACCGAUUAGGAAUCCUUGCUGCAUGCUGGGGGUUGGAUAGUUUCGGCGGUUUUUGCUGGACUCGCGGCUUAUCAGCUUGUUGGGGGGGUAGUGGCUUACCAAGGCUUUGUCGGGUAGCGGGCCUGCGUGGGCGACCUGCCACCUUGGGACCGAGAGGAGGCCCAGACUCCGACGGGAGGCAGAAGGGGGGAAGAUUGAACGAGGGGCGGAAGCCGGAUGCAGCAACGCCGCGGGCGGGAUGACGGCCUUAGUGGUGAAAAACGCUUUCAGCAGGGGCGAAGCUUGUGGUGACGGUACCUGCAGAAGAAGCACCGGCUAACUACGUG